CGGGCCCCAUGCAACGCACCGCCGCCCAAUCCCGCCAGGACCGGAAGGUAGCAACGGCAAGCUGGUCGGGCGUGUCGUGGGUC
rnacentral:SRP_RNA from 1 species